GAUGCGAGCGUUAUCCCGGAAUUAUUGGGUUUAAAGGGUGCGUAGGCGGAAUGGUAAGUCAGCGGUGAAAUACUGCAGCUCAACUGUAGUUGUGCCGUUGAUACUGUCAUUCUUGAGUAUAGAUGAGGUAGGCGGAAUGAGUAGUGUAGCGGUGAAAUGCAUAGAUAUUACUCAGAACACCGAUUGCGAAGGCAGCUUACUAAACUAUAACUGACGCUGAAGCACGAAAGCGUGGGUAUCAAACAGGAUUAGAUACCCUGGUAGUCCACGCUGUAAACGAUGAUUACUGGUUGUUUGGGCGAAAGAGCUCAAGCGACUGCGCG
rnacentral:rRNA from 1 species